UCUCGCCGAGGCUUUUGGCCAGACGGCAAAUCUCCUUAAUAAUUGACCUC
rnacentral:rRNA from 1 species